ensembl:lncRNA
CCUAUAAAGUAAUUGUGCUGUUAAAAAUGUUCUCUGUUUCACCAGGCUGUGCUUGACUGGUGCACGUUAGCCUCCUCUCGACAGGAAGGAGCCAAGGAUUUAUGGCCGUGGAAAGUUGCCCGCUCCUGGCUUGUACAUUCCAGAAAUGGUGCAGGAGGCUUUUGGUCCCCUAGGUGGGACAAGAUUCUGUACAGGGAGUCCCCUGCUGCAGAGUGAAACUCUGAGGUCAGGAAACAUCUCCAAACAAGCCUUUGAUGCUGUAAGAGCUCUGCCUCUGUCCUUGUCCUUGUGCUGCUAAUCUAGUCAGAGGUAAAUUAGUCCCAUGGUGAGAGCUGCCCUGCCAGAAGCUUAGGUGCAG